GGUCGUGGCUCAGUGGCAGAGUGCUUGCCUAGCAUGGAUGAGGCACUGGGUUCAAUCCUCAGCACCA
rnacentral:tRNA from 1 species